CCCGAUGGCGGCCGGGCUGGGGCCGCGGCUGCUGGCCUUGGCCUUGGCCUUGGGGCCGGCCGGUGUUUGGGCUGAAUUGAGUCUGGUGGAGUCUGGUGGAGGUCUGCGAGCACCUGGAGAGUCCGUGCAUCUCUCCUGCCAGGGAUCCGGAUUCAGCUUCAAAGAUUAUUCUGUCUUGUGGUACCGUCAGGCACCCGGUGGCAGUCUCGAGUGGGUGUCCUACAUCAGCCAGCCAUCUGGUACUACAAAGCAAUAUGGGGCUGCAGUAGAAGGUCGAGCCACAGCCUCCCGGGACAAUUCACGGGCCGAGUCAUCUCUCUCCCUCCACCAACUGCAUGUGGGGGACUCAGCCCGCUAUUUCUGUGCUGUUCGCACAGGGUCAGGAAAUCCAGCAGAGCUUUAACAAAAACCCUUUUCCAGGGCAUGUCGAAAACUGUGUGAGCUGCAGGGCUGGUCUCGACUGUGUCAGCUGUAGACUACUCCCAGCGAGCAAAGGUGCAUCACUGUAUACCACAGAUGGCCCCAUCCUUUCUGCAAGAGUUCCUUUCUUUUAAUCACCCCUUUCUGCUAAGUCAACAACUAAGGCCAACUGCAUCCUGGGCUGCAUUAAAAGAGGAGUGGCCAUCAGGUCGAGGGAGAUGAUUGUCUCCCUCUAAUCUGCCCUUGUGACACCCCACUUGGAGUACUGUGUCCAGGUCUGGAGCCCCCAGCACAAGAAGGAUGUUGAUCUGUUAGAGCGGGUCCAGAGGAGUGUCACAAAGACGAUCAAAGGUCUGGAGUACCUCUCAUAUGAAAAAAGGCUGCUAGAUCUGGGGCUGUUCAGCUUACAGAAGCGAAGGCUCUGGGGUACCAUCAUUGCAACCUUUCAGUAUUUGAAGGGGACUUGUAGAAGGAAUGGAGAGCAACUCUUUGCUUGUUUGGAUGUUGACAGGAUGAGGGGGAAUGGUUUUAAACUAAAAGAGGGGAGAUUUAGAUGAGGGGUUGGGAGGGCCCAGGUGGGGCACCACUUUCUUCAGUCAGAGGGUGGUGAGGCACUGGAACAUGUUGCCCAGAGAGGUUGUGGAUGCC